AACACACUUCAUCACCCCGGCAACCAGGUCGUCAUACAGCGGCACGGUGUACAUCCUGGACGUCUGGGGAGAGAAAGCGGUUAACCACGACGGAUGACGGCCAUUCAACAUUAGCUAAGCUCUGACCUAGUAGCAUCUACACAAGUACUGCUGUGUACUGAGCACAUAGGUAGUAGCAUAUGCAGAGGUACAAGUACUCCUGUGUACUGAGCACAUAGGUAGUAGCAUAUGCAGAGGUACAAGUACUACUCAGUACUGAGCACAUAGGUAGUAGCAUAUGCAGAGGUACAAGUACUCCUGCGGACUGAGCACAUAGGUAGUAGCAUAUGCAGAGGUACAAGUACUCCUGGGGACUGAGCACAUAGGUAGUAGCAUAUGCAGAGGUACAAGUACUCCUGGGGACUGAGCACAUAGGUAGUAGCAUAUGCAGAGGUACAAGUACUCCUGGGGACUGAGCACAUAGGUAGUAGCAUAUGCAGAGGUACAAGUACUGCUGGGGACUGAGCACAUAGGUAGUAGCAUAUGCAGAGGUACAAGUACUCCUGGGGACUGAGCACAUAGGUAGUAGCAUAUGCAGAGGUACAAGUACUCCUGGGGACUGAGCACAUAGGUAGUAGCAUAUGCAGAGGUACAAGUACUACUGUGUACUGAGCACAUAGGUAGUAGCAUAUGCAGAGGUACAAGUACUCCUGGGGACUCACGUGCUUGUGGAGGAAGGCUCGGACUCGAGGCAGCUCGGGGUGGAAGGAGUUCCUCACAACCAUCUGAAGCCAGCGGAUCUGAACCUCAGCAUUCAGUCCAUCAAAGACAGACGCGUAACAUGCAGACAGACGGGUCAUCACAUCUGAGAGAGAGACGGGUAGAGAGCGCUAUUAUAAACCAUUGUUUUUAUCUUAUUUUUAUAACAUGUUGUCAACUCUGCGUUUGAGGUGGGGUCAGUCGGGUUUGUGCUGUCUGAGCGUACCGAUAAAUGACCUGCUGCUGGAGAAACAAAUAAAGGAUUCCUACCAGAACGUCCAUCCGCCUGCGUGUGCUGAGUGACCCCGACACCCCGACGCUACAACACUGUAUAUAGUCAUUUGAUGACGUACACAUGGCGUCCGUAAUGGAACGUUCUGUCUAAUCCUUCUCAGGGAUUUCUUCCUCAUUUCAUCCCCGUUUAAGGAUUUGUCUUCGGUGUCCGGUCUGAGUUUUGGAACAGAGAAUGUUGGAGCCCUGCUUGGUAGCACCUCCACCCGCUACCCCUGGACUAGGUAGCACCUCCACCCGCUACCCCUGGACUAGGUAGCACCUCCACCCACUAACCCUGGACUAGGUAGCACCUCCACCCACUAACCCCUGGACUAGGUAGCACGUUAUUAGCCCUCUGUAGUUUGAAUGUCUUGGUUCUUGUACCUCGUGGCAGCGGCGUCUGGUCCA